rnacentral:rRNA from 1 species
AAAUGAAUAGACGGGGGCCCGCACAAGCGGAGGAACAUGUGGUUUAAUUCGAUGAUACGCGAGGAACCUUACCCGGGCUUGAAACGCGCCUGACUUGGCCGGAGACGGCCAUUCCCCUCGGGGCGGGCGCGUAGGUGCUGCAUGGUUGUCGUCAGCUCGUGCCGUGAGGUGUCGGCUUAAGUGCCAUAACGAGCGCAACCCUCAUCGUUAGUUGCCAUCAGGUCAUGCUGGGGACUCUAGCGAGACUGCCAUCGCAAGGUGCGAGGAAGGUGGGGAUGACGUCAAAUCAGCACGGCCCUUAUGUCCGGGGCGACACACGUGUUACAAUGGGCGGUACAAAGGGUCGCCACCCGGUGACGGGGCGCCAAUCCCGAAAACCGCUCUCAGUUCGGAUCGGAGUCUGCAACUCGACUUCGUGAAGCUGGAUUCGCUAGUAAUCGCGCAUCAGCCACGGCGCGGUGAAUACGUUCCCGGGCCUUGUACACACCGCCCGU